rnacentral:rRNA from 1 species
CGCAGUGGGGAAUAUUGCACAAUGGGGGAAAGCCUGAUCCAGCAAUGCCGCGUGAGUGAUGAAGGCCUUCGGGUUGUAAAGCUCUUUUCACCCGGGAAGAUAAUGACGGUACCGGGAGAAUAAGCCCCGGCUAACUCCGUGCCAGCAGCCGCGGUAAUACGGAGGGGGCUAGCGUUGUUCGGAAUUACUGGGCGUAAAGCGUGCGUAGGCGGCUUGCCAAGUCAGAGGUGAAAUCCCGCGGCUCAACCCUGGAACUGCCUUUGAGACUGGAUCGCUUGAAUAUGGGAGAGGUGAGUGGAAUUCCGAGUGUAGAGGUGAAAUUCGUAGAUAUUCGGAAGAACACCAGUGGCGAAGGCGGCUCACUGGACCGUUACUGACGCUGAGGCACGAAAGCGUGGGGAGCAAACAGGAUUAGAUACCCUGGUAGA